GUGGGACUCCAAAAUGGGUCCCACACAAGGUUUUUUACAUUUUGUGUCAAAAGAUGUCUCCGGAACCGCCUCCUGCGUGUGUGUGUGUGUAUUUCCAUUGGUCUUGUUUCAUCAUUCGAUAUGCCAAUCUAUUUUGUGUAGCUGUGAUACUAGUGGUGUAGUUUCUUCUAGCUUGGAUCAUUUUUGGUUUUGUAGACUCUUCACAUAGGUGAUUGGUUUGCCCCUUGCGAGCUGAGGUGGGUUUGUUCUACAUUUUUUGUUUUUAUGUUGUCUUGUUCAUCGGUGGCAUACUCUUGAUGCCUUUUAAUGCAAUAUUCGCUUAUCGAAGAAAUGCAUAAAAUGAAGUUGGAAGGUAGUAUAGGCUGGACUUGGCUGCUGGAGAAUAGGGUGGUGCAGAAUCGGGCAAACUGUGGAUGGGGGUGGAGUUUAAGCAGGUGUGAUGGUGGUUCAUCCAAGCAGGACAAUUAAUCGAUUCCUCUUUUCAUGCAAGGCGGAAGUGACAAUUUUGUAUGGAGAAGUGAAGUUCAGAGAUCAAUCAGAUUGGUGUUUUUUGACAGCCAGUCACUCUUAGGGACAGGGCUGAGUGUAGGUGAAUUCGGUGGGUCGGCUGAUUGUUUUGUGAAAUGAUGAAGUUUUGAAGAUAUUGCUGAUCAAGUGAGGUUUCCUAGGAGUGGACAAACUGAGUUUCUUUAUACAAAUAAUUUCUUUGUCCUCUCAAUGUUACAUGUGCUCCCAAUAUCAUUCCUUAGAAUGCCAUUGAGCUACUAAUGCCAUAAUAUUUGGCCUCCGAAUAGCGGCUGAAAGUAAACUGAGUUUGUUAAUUCAAUUUAAAAAAAAAAACUGUAUAUGUUAAGGAAUCGUCUGGAAAGGUCCAAUUAAAAGGGGAUCUAGGUCAUUGUCUAUGAUGGAUUUUGGGGUAGUGAAGGGGGGAUCUGGGGUUCAUAGUCGCACUAGUGGGCUUUAGCAUUGAAGAGCUUCCCGGAAGGAAGAUCACCUUUUCUCUUGCGCCCCCUCCAAAAAAUACUUGGCCUGGGACCCAGAAACACAUUUCUGCUUCAUUUGAAGAAAUACAGAUCCGAAAACCAAAGAGCGACUGAUUGGGGAAGCAGCAUGACUGUACUUUCAGCUUGAAUUUCAUUUCACACAAAAUUUAGGGGAAAAAGAUUGUUGCAGUAAUAAGAGUUUUCACCAGUAGUGGUAGGGUUGUGCGUUACGUAGCUGACAGCCAGCACGUAAAAAAAAAAUCCGUCAGAUCUUUAUGACAUGAAUCCAAAUAUGAUUACGAGACAUGCUAGGGCGUUCCCUUUAAGCGACGCGUUGUGCCUGCCUUCGGGUGCUUCGAAAAAUGAGCAAGGGGCGCCACACCGGCGCCCGGGUGUGAUGAUAAGUGAGCAAGGGCUCUCGCGCAUGCCUGGAUGAACGCGGGUAAAGAAGCUAGCUCAGGACUAUAGGAUUCAUUUAGCAACUUGGAAUAUAGGGACAUUAACGGGUAAGACUAGGGAGCUAGUUGACACCGUGCUUAGGAGGAGGAUUAGUAUAGCUUGCCUUCAGGAGACUAGGUGGGUAAGGGAGAAAGCUAGGGAGAUAGAGGACACAGGUUAUAAGCUUUACUAUACGGGUAAGGAUAGACAUAGAAAUGGGGUAGGUAUCGUAGUAGAUAAACACCUAAAAGAUUCGGUAGUUACGGUAACGAGAAAAGAACAUCGGAUUAUUUUAGUUAAGCUUGUGAUCGGAGAGAGUAUAGUUAAUAUUAUUAGUGCUUACGCGCCCCAAGUAGGCUUGGAUGAUCUUAUUAAAGAGCAAUUCUGGGAGCAAAUGGAUGACGUGGUUCAAGGGAUACCUUUUGGGGAGAAGCUAUUUAUAGGAGGCGAUUUCAAUGGUCAUGUGGGAGUGCAUAAGCAAGGGUAUGAGAAGGUACAUGGUGGCUUUGGAUUUGGUGACCUUAACGAAGGUGGUAGGAGGAUUUUAGAUUUCGCGGUAGCUUUUGACCUUAUAGUUGGGAAUACUCUCUAUAGGAAGCGAGAUGAGCAUUUAAUUACCUUUAAGAGUGAAGCCAAUAGAAGCCAAAUCGACUAUUUUCUUGCUCGAGGGGCAGACCGCUUGACAUGUAAGGAUUGUAAGGUUAUUCCCGGAGAGUGUCUAGUAGCACAACAUAGACUUUUGGUGUUAGAUAUUUGUCUCAAUGGGGAUAAUAGAAGGAGAAAGGAAACUAGAUGCCCACGGAUUAAAUGGUGGGGCCUAAGAGGGGAGAAACUAGAGGUAUUCAAGGAAAGAAUGUCUCAAGAAAUACGGUGGGGAGUGGAAGGCGAUAGUGACAAUAUGUGGACUACGUAGCUGACGGUAUUAGAAGAAUAUCAAAAGAAGUUCUUGGCGAGUCGAAGGGAAAAUGUCCAAUUUCUAAGGAGAUAUGGUGGUGAAAUGACGAAGUUCAAGCCAUGGUAAAAGCAAAGGAGUGCUUUAAAAAGUGGCAAAAUGAUCGGAAUGAGGAAAAUUUUCAGGGCUAUAAGCAAGCUAGCAAGGAAGCUAAGAAAACCGUUAGGGAUUGCUAAGUUGAAAGCCUAUGAGAAUUUCUACGCUAGACUCGAUAGUAAAGAUGGAGAAAAAAAUAUUUAUAAACUUGCUUAGCUACGAGAAAGGAAAGUUAGAGACGUUUCUCAAGUUAAGUGUAUAAAAGAUAUUGAUUCGGUGGUGUUGGUGAAAGACGAGGCGAUCAAGGAUAGAUGGAAAUCGUAUUUCGAUAAGUUGUUAAACGAGAAACAUGAAGGAGGCUUUGGUGGGGAGGAAGUGUAUGUACCUGGCAAGAACAUAGAAUAUGAGUUUUAUUGAAGAAUACAAAAGUUCGAAGUGGUUAAAGCUUUGAAAAGGAUGAAACCGGGUAAGGCCCUAGGACCAGAUGGUAUUCCUAUUGAAGUGUGGAAAAGUCUAGGUGACUUGGGGGUGACUUGGUUGACGAAGUUGUUCAACAAGAUUAUUAUGACUAGGAAGAUGCCCGACGAAUGGAGAAGGAGCACUUUAGUACCUAUCUAUAAGAAUAAAGGGGAUAUUCAAAGUUGCAACAACUAUAGAGGUAUUAAAUUGAUGAGUCAUAUGAUGAAGUUGUGGGAAAGAGUUAUUGAGCAUCGCUUGAGGAUGGUGACUACGGUGUCAGAGAAACAGUUUGGGUUCAUGCUAGGAAGAUCUACCAUGGAAGCUAUUUACCUAUUAAGGAGAUUGGUAGAAAAAUACAUAGCAAAGAAGAAGGAUCUCCAUAUGGUUUUCAUAGACUUAGAAAUGGCUUAUGAUAGGGUGCCUAGGGACAUCAUAUGGUGGGUUCUGGAGAGAAAAUGAGUGACCAAAGGGUAUAUCGAGGUGAUUAGAGACAUGUAUGAAGGUGCCGUCACUACCAUUAGAUCACCAAUAGGGGAAACGAGUGAAUUUCCUAUCACCGUAGGAUUGCAUCAAGAGUCAUCCCUGAGCCCAUACCUCUUUGCCUUAGUUAUGGAUGAAUUGACUAGACAAUUUCAAGAGAAUAUUCCAUGGUGUAUGAUGUUUAUAGAUGACAUUGUCCUCGUAGAUGAAAUCGCUAGAAGUGUUAAUACGAAACUAGAAAUUUGGAGAGAAGCAUUAGAGUCAAAGGGUUUUCGGAUAAGUAGGAGUAAAACUAAAUAUAUGAUGUGCAAGUUUAGUGGUACCAGUAGUGCGCAUGAAGGAAGAGUGAUGAUCCAAGACCAGGAGAUACCAAAGAGUGAUCAUUUUAGGUAUUUAGGCUCAAUUAUUAGAAGAGAUGGAGAGAUUGUUGAUGAUGUGACCCAUAGGAUCCAAGUGGGGUGGCUCAAGUGGAGAAGCGCUACUGGUGUACUAUGUGACAAGAGGGUACCUACAAAAUUGAAGGAAAAAUUCUAUAGAACUGCCAUAAGAUCAGCGAUGCUUUAUGGGAUAGAAUGUUGGCCUAUUAAGAAACAACAUGUGAGCAAAUUUAGUGUAGCAAAAAUGAGAAUGUUGAGGUGGAUGUGUGGUAAGACUAGACGAGACAAGAUUAGAAAUGAAAUAGUUCGUGAGAUGGUAGGUGUAGCACCUAUAGAGGAGAAGUUGAGGAAAAAUAGGCUAAGGUGAUUUGGGUAUAUCUACCGUAGACCAGAAGAUGCAGUAGUUAAUAAAGCGGAUAGGAUAGCUCUAGGUAGCAAUGUUACGGGGAGGGGUAGACCUAAAUUGACAUUAGAUGCUGUAGUGCGCAAAGAUAUGAGUAUAAUGGAUCUGUGUGAACAAGUGGCACUUGACAGAGUCCAAUGGAGGAAACGGAUUCAUGUAGCCGACCCCAAGUGAUUGGGACGUAAGGCUCGGUUUGGUUUGGUUUGGUACCAGUAGUGGUAGGUGAAUGAAUAUGGUGCGAUAACCAUAACGAUGUAUUAGAAGCCGUGUUGGAAAAAGGGAACAUCUAGAUGUGAAAUAGUAGUAUGAUAGACAUGACGUGGACCUGCUCGACCUUUUUUCUACCGCUGAAAAAGCAUUCUCUUCGUUUGUUUCUUACCAUAUUGCAAUUCCUAUAGGCUAGAAAUGAGUGUUUUUGUUUUAUUCGUUGCGGAGUUCAAAUUGAUUAGUUCCAACCACCACUCAUGACAACCUAUGAAAGGAAUUGAUCAACUAUGUUGCUGUACGUAUUAAGAAUAUUUGAUGAUUUAAGUAACAGCUGUUUAGUUUAUCUAAAACUAACGACACGUCUAUAUUUUAGUAGAAAAUGCUCCGUAGCAAUGUACAAUUGUACAUAUUGGAAGUUUGGAACACACGUACCGAAACAUGAUACCCCUGUGUUCUCAAACAGUAAAUUUAGCUAUCCUAAUAGACCCCCAAAGGUUUUCUGAAUUAUUAGCUAAACACUAGAACAUAAUCCAAUCCUAAGUCAACGCUUGCGAAUAUACCCCCAAGGUUUUCUGUUCUUAACGCAGCUUUGACAAGGAAAAAAAAUACUAAGAAAGUCAGUCAUAAAGCCUUGAGAUAUUUGUUUUACGGGGUAAUUCGAAAGAUGUUACUCUGUUUUGGUAGAUGUAUCAGUCUGAAGUAUAGUACGGUGUUUGUCUAUAUAGAAGCCUACUCCUAUGUACUCCCUCCACCCCAUAUUGCUUGUCCUGCUUUCUAUUUCGGGAUGUCCCAAAAUGAUUGUCCUCUUUGAAAGUCAAACUAAAAAGUGUACGUUUCCACAAACUAACCCUCAUAAAUGAUUAGAAGUAGUUUUUGAUGAAGAGUUAGGGAUAACAUUGGAAAUCUAAUCAAACUUUCUAAGGAGACCCGCAUUAAUUGCUUGUCCACUUAAAAGUUGGAUUCCCCGUACGUGACAACCAAUAUGGGACGGAGGGAGAUCAUAUAUUUAUGGCAUGUAGAAUAACCCUUCCCGGUUAAUGUACCAGAACAGUCCACAUUCCAAGUGACAUAGGUAGUUUAGCCUUGCCUUUGUUAUCCAGUAGCUAUGUCUGCUCUUUUAUGGUUGAAUGAUGUGUUUUUCCUGCUAAUGAUUACUAGUGCCAUUGGAUGUGUGGUUUUACGCCUGCUUGACAUGCAGAGAGGGUUCCUACUUACCAUUUUUUUUUAUUCCCA